GGGCCGGACAGCCGCGCGGAACGGCCGAAAGGCCCACUGUGAGGAAAGUCCGGGCUCCACAGGGCAAGGAUAACGGGUAACGCCCGCCGAAGGCGACUUCAGGAAAAGUGCAACAGAGAUAUUCCGCUCCGCGUCAGCGGAGCAAGGGUGGAAAAGUGAGGUAAGAGCUCACUCGCCGGCUGGAGACUGUCCGGUGCUGUAAACUCUAUCCGGAGCAACACCGUGGAGGAGACAUUGGCUGGCCCGGCCGUCUCCGGGGAGGUGGCAUGGAGCGUGCCGGCAACGGUACGGCAAGAUAGAUGGCUGUCUAAGACAGAACCCGGCUUACAGACCCGAUU
rnacentral:RNase_P_RNA from 1 species